AACGAACGCUGGCGGCAGGCUUAACACAUGCAAGUCGAGCGCGUAGCAAUACGAGCGGCAGACGGGUGAGUAACGCGUGGGAACGUACCCUUUACUACGGAAUAGCUCCGGGAAACUGGAAUUAAUACCGUAUGUGCCCUUUGGGGGAAAGAUUUAUCGGUAAAGGAUCGGCCCGCGUUGGAUUAGCUAGUUGGUGGGGUAAUGGCCUACCAAGGCGACGAUCCAUAGCUGGUCUGAGAGGAUGAUCAGCCACAUUGGGACUGAGACACGGCCCAAACUCCUACGGGAGGCAGCAGUGGGGAAUAUUGGACAAUGGGCGCAAGCCUGAUCCAGCCAUGCCGCGUGAGUGAUGAAGGCCUUAGGGUUGUAAAGCUCUUUCACCGGAGAAGAUAAUGACGGUAUCCGGAGAAGAAGCCCCGGCUAACUUCGUGCCAGCCGCCGCAGUAACAC
rnacentral:rRNA from 1 species